rnacentral:tRNA from 1 species
GGAGCGGCACGGGUCUGGUGGUCCAUCCGGUCUUCAAAACCGGCAGGGCGUGGAAGCCCCACGCUUGGAAGGUUCGAUUCCUUCGCCGCUUCG